UACGUAGGUGGCGAGCGUUAUCCGGAAUGAUUGGGCGUAAAGGGUGCGUAGGCGGCCUGCUAAGUCUGGAGUGAAAGGUACCGGCUCAACCCGGGCCGGCCGUUGAAACUGGGGAUCUUGAGUGGGCGAGAAGUAUGCGGAAUGCGUGGUGUAGCGGUGAAAUGCAUAGAUAUCACGCAGAACUCCGAUUGCGAAGGCAGCAUACCGGCGCCCGACUGACGCUGAGGCACGAAAGCGUGGGGAUCGAACAGG
rnacentral:rRNA from 1 species